GAGUAUUAGCAGAAUUUUUAUUUCACUUAUUUGAUUAUUUGAUUUGUGUUUGUGAUUUUGUGACUGUGUGUGUCCCAUGAAUGGUGAAUUUGUUCCCCUUUGGCCAAAGUAGUUUUGUUCCCCAGAUGCUGGUUCAAUAUCCAAGUAGUAGUGAUCUGACACACGUCAAAGAUUCAAGUGGCAGCGAGAAUUUCAGGCAAAUAAACUGAGGCAAGACACUGCUUGACUAUCAAAUCCAAUGAUUCUGAGGAUUCUUUAACUGAUGGGAGCAGAAGUAACCUUUUGGAAGUUAAUGUUUCAGAAGUAGAUCACCAUGAAAGACAAGUAGAGGAAGCUCAGCAGAAAGGAUUGUCCCUCACUGAUGGAGAUAAGGU